GCUGCUACUGGCCUCUAAUGGGCAGAGGCCAAGGCUAAGGAUGCCGCAAAUAUUCUUCAGUACACAGGGUAGCCUCCCACAAUGAAGAAUUCCCCUGUCCAAAACGCCAACAGUGCAGCAGUUGAGAAACCCCACAUUAGUGUAAUUCAUCCAACUGCUACCAGAAAGGUGCCUGCCCAGAUAAGGACUGCCUUAGGCCGGCCUAUAGUGGGUGGGUUUUUGACUUGUGUAGGAAAGAUUUCACAGCAUGAGUUCAGGUGAUUUUUGAUAGUAUGUUCAUUAAGGCCAGGGACAGUGAAACGAAGGAAAGACUUAGGGUAGAAGUAACAAGAGAGAGCCAAGACGGGGCUGCUGUUAGCUCACCUGCAGUCAGAGGAAGAUGAUUCCCUGGAGACAGGAUCAAGGGGUAAAAGUAUAUAUUUAGAAGUCCAAGAGUCCAGCAGAGAAAUGCUAGCACAUUACUGGAGGAAAAAAAGAGGGUGUGAGGAACUGGAUGCAUUGAAGCUGUGUUGAAAAGGAAAAUGUAAUAUGGAAUAAUAUUGGAGACUCCAUGAGCACAGACAGCCUUGUAUUCAGCCCCGCUUUGACCUCUGCAGAAGCAAGCUUCCUGCAGGUGUAAACUGGCAGCCCCUACCUCAGCUACUCCCAGUAUAUUCAACUUCCU